rnacentral:rRNA from 1 species
CCUACGGGCGGCAGCAGUGGGGUAUAUUGCACAAUGGGCGGAACCCUGAUGCAGCGACGCCGCGUGUAUGAAGAAGGGCCUCGGGGUGUAAAGCCCUUUCAGCGGGGAGGAAAGUGCCGGUGCCUAUAAAAGCAGCCCCGGCGGACUACGGCCGAGCAGCCGCGGUAAUACGGAGGGUGCGAACGUUAUUCGGAUUGACUGGGGGUAACGUGGGCGCAGACGGCGUUGCAAGUCAGGAGUGAAAGCCCUGGGCUCAACCUGGGGACUGCUCUUGAAACUGGGUGGCUGGAGUGCAGGAGGGGGAGGUGGAAUUCCGGGUGUAGCGGUGAAAUGCGUAGAGAUCAGGAGGAACACCGGUGGCGAAGGCGGCCCGCUGGAC